rnacentral:rRNA from 1 species
UACAGAGGUCUCAAGCGUUGUUCGGAUUCAUUGGGCGUAAAGGGUGCGUAGGCGGCGCGGUAAGUCGGGUGUGAAAUCUCGGAGCUUAACUCCGAACUGCAUUCGAUACUGCCGUGCUUGAGGACUGGAGAGGAGACUGGAAUUUACGGUGUAGCGGUGAAAUGCGUAGAUAUCGUAAGGAAGACCAGUGGCGAAGGCGGGUCUCUGGACAGUUCCUGACGCUGAGGCACGAAGGUCAGGGAGCAAACGG